CUCUGGAAACUUAUUCAGAACCGUCUGAGCUCUUCCCUCAAGUUCAAGACGCAAAAGGCAUCUGUUUCCACCAUGUAAUUGCAGUUGGCCCGUCUCUCCUGUUGUUGAGGCUUGCAUUCAAUGAAAGUCAAAGUCAGAGCUUUGCUGAGAGCUGCCUGAGCGAUCCCAGGCCUGUGAGAAACUCAAGGGGACAGUGACAAGAGCCCUGGCUGGGAGUCGGCCAGCUUGGGAGGCCUGAAGUUUAGUUCAGGCGGUGCCUUCAACCAGCCACGGGCGCUGGAGCAAGUCUGUAACAUCUCUGGCCUCUGCUUUCUUGACUGUAUAAUGUAGGCACAGGACUAGAAAAUCCCUAACCCCUCUAGGUGCCUGUGAUGGGUGGAUUUUUACAAGGGCGAACUAAGUGUUUUGGGUUUGUUUGUUUUUAACGAUAAAAGGCACUGCACUAGGAAAACUGACAUAUUCCAACAGCCCCAGAGACAAGUUUUUUUACUACCACCUCAGAUGACUUAACAGGUUCAAGCUUAAGACGAAGAAGUUCAAGUUCAAGAGCAGGCUUCACACUCAGGUCUGUAUGCCCCAGGGUCUGUCCUGCGCCUAGAGGCACUCCACAGUGUAGCAAUGACCAGGCCCCUCUUCCCAGGAACUUUCGAUUCCCUUUAGGGAAAUCAACUUGACAGAUAAGAACCAAAGACCAGCAUCAGGCAGAAUAAAACCCACAUCAAACUCUGCAGCUGCAACGACUGGAACAACACGGUGGCAACACUUGCAUCACUGAGCACGUGCACCCACGGUGCUCACACCCACGGGGCCGUAGGUCCUUCUCAGGUCAUUCAGGAAAAAAAGAUUGUUUUCCAUGUGUCUGACGCCCACAGACAAAGGGAAAAUACCCCCGAGGAGCUCACGAGGUCUGGUGAGCAUGCAGAUUCAUGGGGUAGCUCCUUCCUGGCCUCCCUGGGGAGCAGAGCAUUAUUGUCAUAAGUCAUAUGUACAGAUAACUGAAGUGCAUUCCCGUUGUGGCUCAGCAGGUUAAGAACCCCACUGGUAUCCAUGAGGACGCAGUUUUGCUCCCUGGCUUCACUAAGUGGGUUAAGGAUCUGGCGUUGCCAUGCGCUGCGGUGCAAGUCGCAGAUGCAGCUCGGAUCUGGCGUGGCUGAGGCUGUGGCGUUGGCUGGCAGCUGUAGCUCUGAAUCCACCCUGAGGCUGGGAACUUCCAUUUGCCACAGGUGUGGCCCUCCAAAGAAAAAUAAAUAAAGUUUGUCUUGAAGGUCAUGGAGACAGUCCUUAAUAUUGUCAGUCACUGGGUGGUACCAGACAAAGGGGUUUCGCACUCUUCACGUGAGUUCUCGUGAUGCAGCUAUGCUUUCUGGGUUCUUGGCUGAUUUUCACCCCCUUUCCUGGGCCACCCUGUUAGGGGACAUGGCCCUGGGACAAAAUACCUGACGCUGACGCAGCUAACGAAGAACACUGUGCUCUCAGAUAGGCUCUUUAAAUGUCACGGGACUCAGUUUCCUCAGCUGCUCGGGAGAACUUAGGGUCACGCUUUCUCUCCUUUCAUCUCCCAGUCUGCCUCCUUCCUUCUAUCUGUCCUAAAGUCAUGCUUCCUUAAAGCCGUUCACAUCCAGACCUUUAUAAAGUCAGAGGGCCCCAAGGAAAUGAGAACAAGGCCUGUCGGGUCAGGCUAGCAGGAGAGCACAAGGGAACAAAGUGAGUCCUUUUGGUGGCGGGGAGACAAUCAGGCAAUACCUGAAAAGGCACCAAACAGAUUCCUAGACAUCACAUGGUAUUAAAGACGGUCACGAGGCAUGGUUUUUAAAAAGCAGCGUGGGGAGUU
ensembl:lncRNA